rnacentral:misc_RNA from 1 species
GAUGAAGAACGUAGCGAAAUGCGAUAAGUAAUGUGAAUUGCAGAAUUCAGUGAAUCAUCGAAUCUUUGAACGCACAUUGCGCCCGCCAGCAUUCUGGCGGGCAUGCCUGUUCGAGCGUCAUUUCAACCCUCAAGCUCUGCUUGGUGUUGGGGCCCUACGGUUGACGUAGGCCCUUAAAGGUGGUGGCGGACCCUCUCGGAGCCUCCUUUGCGUAGUAACUAACGUCUCGCAUUGGGAUUCGGAGGGACUCUUGCCGUAAAACCCCCAAAUUUUCUAAUGGUUGACCUCGGAUCAGGUAGGAAUACCCGCUGAACUUAAGCAUAUCAAUAAGCGGAGGA